AGGGUUAAGGUUAGGGUUGAGCUGGGAUGUGGACAUGAAGCUAGGGUAAGGGUUAAGGUUAGGGUUGAGCUGGGAUGUGGACAUGAAGCUAGGGUAAGGGUUAAGGUUAGGGUUGAGCUGGGAUGUGGACAUGAAGCUAGGGUAAGGGUUAAGGUUAGGGUUGAGCUGGGAUGUGGACAUGAAGCUAGGGUAAGGGUUAAGGUUAGGGUUGAGCUGGGAUGUGGACAUGAAGCUAGGGUAAGGGUUAAGGUUAGGGUUGAGCUGGGAUGUGGACAUGAAGCUAGGGUAAGGGUUAAGGUUAGGGUUAGUGCUAGGAUUCGGUUUCAGAGGGUUUCUGUUUGUGCUGGUAUCAAACCCUGGGUUGCACAGGCCUAUUCCAACUUCCUGCUCUGCAUUUUGCAAAUUCGUCAGGAGAGGGUGGGAAAACAUGGGGCGUUUGUUUGCCUGAAGGGUCAAUGGAGGCCGAGAGCUCAGAGCGGUCACCUGCGAUGGUUCAAUGAGAGAAAUACAACAACGAGAGGAAGAAAAGGCAUUAGGUUAGGGAUAGGGUUGAGGUUAGGAUUGAGGUUCUGCAAGGGUUAGGGUUAUGGUGUUGUUCUGGUAGGGUUAGGACUAGUAUAUGGUGACAAACUCCCAUUUGUCCCCACAUACUCUGUCUUCUAUGAAGUUUAACUCUGUAGUAAAAGGGUCAUUUCUAGAAGACAAAGGAUGAUGAGGUUCUCCAACAAUUCAGAGUAAUAUAUAUAUCAGCAUAUUGUCAAAACAAAACUGAAAGAUAUGCAGGUACAACCACACUAAGCACACAUUUAGAUCUCAUAUAGUACGACAGUUAAGAAUAGCAGGGUUAGAAUCUAAUCAAGGGGGGACGUUAACACAGAGACAGACUAAGGAGCGUUUUUGAAUGAAAAAAAAAAACAGAGUACUAUUGAUCCCACAGGUCUGAAUAACAAGUAUUAGUGAAAGGCAUGACCACAUAGGAUCCUUUUUCUCCAUCUAUUGGACAGUUUUGAGAAGACAGGUGGACUGGUUAUUUUUUUCUGAAGAUGAUUAAAAAAUAUUUUUUAUUUAACCUUACUUUGAAGGGCUCAUUGAGUUUUGAAAUCUCUUUUUCAAGAGCGUCCUGGCCAAGAUAGGCAGCACCAAGUCAUUACACAAUUACAGACAGACAACAUGAAAAACUACAAGUAAUCUAGUAAAAACCAUUGAAUUCACAAGAGUAUAACAACAUCAUAAAACAGCAAAUUAAAAACAGUGACAGGUCAGGGAAUCAGCCUCAAAGUCCUUCAUCAGUGAUUUAAAAACACCAAUCGAAACAGGUUCUUCCAAUUUAAAAGUAUUUUGUAAGGUGUUCCAAGCCGAUGGCGCAGAGUACAUAAAAACCAUUUUACCAAAUUCAGUUGGGACAUUUGGAACAGUUAGCAGGAUAAAGUCCAGUGAACGAAGAGAGUACCCACCACAUUUCUGAACAAUAAAAAUGCCCAAAUAAAAUGGUAGUAAACCAAAAAUGGCUUUGUAAAUAAAAGUAUACCAGUGACUGAGCCUAUAGGUGACUAGAGAAGGCCAGCCAACCCUGGUAUACAAAGUGCAUUGGUGCGUAAGUGUUUUGCAGUUUAAAAUAAAUCUCAAUGCUCCAUGGUAAAGAGUGUCAAUUGAUCUCAAACACUGAGCGGAAGCAUUCAUAUAUAAAAUAUCCCCAUAGUCUAGUAAAGGCAUAAAUGUAGCUGAUUACUAGCCUCCUUCUGGCUUCAAAAGAAAUACAGGCCUUAUUCCUAAAAUAAAAUCGAAACUUCAGCUUCAAUUUUUUUGUACAUUGUUGAGUAUGCAAUUUAAAAGAGUGGCUGUCAUCAAUUAAAAUUCCAAGAUAUUUAUAAGAGGUUACAGUCUCAAUCUCAUUGCCCCUGACUGGUAGUAAUAGGUGAAAGGUUGAAAAGGUUCAUUAGAUAGAGGUUUUACUAGACCAGGUCUUGGCUCUACCCUUAACCUUCCUCUUUGAAUGUUUUCACACUUCUUAUACAAAAACUUUUAGAAAGAUGGAUCCCUAGGAGCAAUAGAAUUAGAGAGCACGUGCCUGUGCUUUGCUUGUCUUCUUUAAGGUCAAUUUCCCCCUAGUUUUACCACAACCCUAACCCUAGUCCUAACCCACCAUAACCGCAACCCUAACCCUGGUCCUAAUCUUUUCAUAACCUCAACCCUAUCCUAACUGCAACCCUAACCCUUAGAAUGGCUUCAUGUCCACACCCAGCUCAACCCUGACCAUAGCCAUAAUCUUAACCCAAACAAAUUGUUGCACUCUGUAGUUUGAGAAUCUAUUGGCCGUCUAGGGCGACUCUCCAAAUAAAGUGUGACUUCAGUUUUACCCAAGUGUUAUUGUUGGUUGUGAACACUAGAGGGCAGCAGUAACGCAUAAAAAAGACAACCUGGCCAUGCUCUUUCCCCUGGUCGUGUGUGAUUGGCAAUGACAUUUGAAAAUGUUUGUCUCUGGGAUACAUUGAUCAUUCACUACAUUUGGUUAAAGAUUCAUUUGAUAAAGCCUACAGAUGGGCAGCUGAUCAACAUGUGAUAUGGUAAGUCAGGGGCCCAGGGAGAUGGAUUUAUGUGUAUCUCUAGCCCUGUUUACACCUCCCUGGUGCUAAAAUGGAUCCUUUAUCAUGAUCGUCUACAUUCUGAUUGUGCCCACAUUUCAAGAAAUGUGUUUACGUAUGGUAUUAAAACGUUUUUGUUUUCCAUCCACUGUGUCUGCAUGGUGACCAGAUAUCCUGGUCCGUUCCUUUAUGCAAAUUAUUUCACAGCUAUUCUUUCAAAAUAAUAUUGAUUUAUUGUAAGAAAUGUAUUGAUGUAAUCGGUCAAUGGUGCCAUCUGUCAAUGAUUUUAGGUGGAUAAUGAUGAUUUAAAUGGUUUCUCUGUCCAAAUCUGUCUACACUUGUAAGAUAUCCAGAGGUGGUCAGUAAGAUCUAAUCACAAUGUGUCUUUUGAUUUUCUACACCUACCUGAAAAUGUGGGCAAGAUCUGGACAAAGGACACAUGUUAAAAGCAGGUAUAAAUGGGGCUUCUGGUGUAAUAUAUUACAGAUUAAGCUGGUUCCAACAGUGGCCUUGCGUGCUGACCUCCAUUCCCUGCAGACUCAGGAGUUUUUCCUCUCAUUUGGCCGGGUCAUGGUCACCUUCUCCUCACAGACAUCUCUGACCUCCAUUCCCUGCAGACUCAGGAGUUUUUCCUCUCAUUUGGCCGGGUCAUGGUCACCCUCUCCUCACAGACAUCUCUGACCUCCAUUCCCUGCAGACUCAGGAGUUUUUCCUCUCAUUUGGCCGGGUCAUGGUCACCUUCUCCUCACAGACAUCUCUGACCUCCAUAAAAACACAUUUCAGCUCUUAAUGGACUGUAAACCACCUAGUUGUUGCAUGGAUAUGGGGCUUUAUACGUUGCAGUACAUUUUUCAAUAAAGCUAAUGCAUUUA